rnacentral:lncRNA from 10 species
CUACAAACUUGAAAAGAAAUACAAAGAGGAAACAUGAAAUGCAGGAUUCAACAGAAGAUGAGCAGGUAGAAGAAAGAGAAGAAUGGUGGCGAGUUUUGGACAUGAGGCUUCUUCAUAGUAGAGCAUGGGUGAUAUGGUUUGGCUCUGUGUCCCCACCCAAAUCUCAUGUUGAAUUGUAAUAAUUCCCACAUGUCAUGGGGAGGACCAGGUGGGAGGUAAUUCAAUCAUGGGGGUGGCUUUUUCCCAUGCUGUUCUUGUGAUAGUGAAUAAGUCUCAUGAGAUCUGAUGGUUUUAUAAAGGGCAGUUCCCCUGCACAUUUUCUAUCUUGCCUGCCUCCAUGUAAGAUGUGCCUUUGCGCCUCCUUCACUUUCUGCCAUGAUUGUGAGGCCUCCCCAGCCAUGUGAAACUGUGAGUCCAUUAAACUUCUUUUUCUUUGUAAAUUACCCAAU